rnacentral:lncRNA from 10 species
GGAAGCAUGUGGAUUAAACUGGAUCUGGAGUGCAGAUGCUUUUGUUAUUCAAAUGGAUCCCGUCACCAAAAUGUAAACAGCAAACAGGAAAAUAUCUCUCAUAUAAACAUGGAAUUUUAGAGUUCAUAUGGAUAAUUCCCUUCAUUCCAAGGUUGCAAAAAGUAAGGUGUGGGGUAAGGCUGUUACCUUCUUUCCUAUCUUUUGUAAGCCUUACUCUUCACAUCAACAUUUUGAGCUUAUAAUAUUCUUUUCCCUUUUCCUGAACAUCUUCUUUUCAGACUCCCAGUUACUCUUAUGUCUACUCUAUCACUAAAAACACACUCCCAACCAUUAUAAUCACUGUCGUGCUGUCCCUGCAAUGUCCCAGACAAAAGCCAUUAGUCACAUGUGGACAUUUCAAUUUAAAUUAAUACAAAUGAAAUAAACCUCAGAAGUCAAUCUCUCAGUCACAAUAACCACACUGAAAAUACUCAGUAGACCCCUGCGACUAGAGGCUCUGCAGGCGACUGUGUAGACCUAGAGCAUUCCAAACUGGCAGGGGUUUUCCUGGAGAGCUCCACUGUGCAUGGGCCAGACAGCACCAAAAGCACAAGGAAUGCAGUGCUGGGCGUGUGUG